AUUGAACGCUGGCGGCAGGCCUAACACAUGCAAGUCGAACGAGUGGCGGACGGGUGAGUAAUGUCUGGGAAACUGCCUGAUGGAGGGGGAUAACUACUGGAAACGGUCGCUACUACCGCAUACCAUCAGCUGUGCCCAGCUGGGAUUAGCUAGUUGGUGGGGUAACGGCUCACCAAGGCGACGAUCCCUAGCUGGUCUGAGAGGAUGACGAGCCACACGUGAACUGAGACACGGGCCAGACUCCGACGUGAGGCAGCAGGGGGGAAUAGUGAACAAUGGGCGAAAGCCUGAUGCAGGCAUGCCGCGUGGAGGAAGAAGGCCGUCGGGUUGUAAAGUACUUUCAGCGGGGAGGCGUUACCCGCAGAAGAAGCACCGGCUAACUCCGUGCCAGCCGCCGCGGUAAUUC
rnacentral:rRNA from 1 species